rnacentral:rRNA from 1 species
AUUGAACGCUGGCGGCAGGCCUAACACAUGCAAGUCGAGCGGGUGAAGGGAGCUUGCUCCUGGAUUCAGCGGCGGACGGGUGAGUAAUGCCUAGGAAUCUGCCUGGUAGUGGGGGAUAACGUCCGGAAACGGGCGCUAAUACCGCAUACGUCCUGAGGGAGAAAGUGGGGGAUCUUCGGACCUCACGCUAUCAGAUGAGCCUAGGUCGCAUUAGCUAGUUGGUGGGGUAAAGGCCUACCAAGGCGACGAUCCGUAACUGGUCUGAGAGGAUGAUCAGUCACACUGGAACUGAGACACGGUCCAGACUCCUACGGGAGGCAGCAGUGGGGAAUAUUGGACAAUGGGCGAAAGCCUGAUCCAGCCAUGCCGCGUGUGUGAAGAAGGUCUUCGGAUUGUAAAGCACUUUAAGUUGGGAGGAAGGGCAGUAAGUUAAUACCUUGCUGUUUUGACGUUACCAACAGAAUAAGCACCGGCUAACUUCGUG